AGAUAUUUAUAUUAUUAAUAGGAAAGUCAUAAAUAUAUAAAUUAUAUUAUAUAAUUAAUAUAAUAAUAAAAUAAAUUAUAUAUUUUAUUUAUAAUAUUAUUUCUUUAUAAGAUAAAUAUUAUCUAAUUAAUAAUUAGAUUGAAUAAUAUUUAUAAAGAAAUAUAUAUAUAUAUAAAAAAUCAUUAUAUAAAUUUAAUUAUAAUUUAAAUAAAUUUUAUAUAAAUUAAUAUAAUAUUAAUAAAGUAAUUAGUAUAAAUAAAUAAUAUGAAAAUAAAACUUAAUAAAUAUAUAAAUAUAGUCCAUAUAUAUAUAUUAAUAAAAAGUAAUAUAUAUAUAUAUAUUGGAAUAGUUAUAUUAUUAUACAGAAAUAUGCUUAAUUAUAAUAUAAUAUCCU
rnacentral:RNase_MRP_RNA from 2 species